GGCAAUGAAACGAUCGAAAGAGUUACAAAAUUCAAGCUCCUUGGGGUCACAAUGCAGAAUAACCUUAAAUGGAAAUCACAUGUACAAGAUAUCGUUACGAAGGCAAGUAAAAUAAUUUAUUUCGUGAGGCCGGCCUGCAGGAAAGCAAAUCUCCCGAGAAAUAUAGGACUUACAACUUACUGCACAAAGAUAAGGCCCAUUCUGGAAUACGUGGCACCAAUUUGAGCUGGCUUACCACUCUACCUGAAGGAAGAUAUCGAAAGAGUACAAAAUCGAUGUCUAGACAUUAUUGGUCUACCGAGGAAUACUAU